UACAGAGGGUGCGAGCGUUGUCCGGAAUCACUGGGCGUAAAGGGCGCGUAGGCGGCUUGAUAAGCGUGCGGUGAAAGCCCGGGGCUCAACCCCGGGUCGGCCGUGCGAACUGUCGAGCUGGAGCACUGUAGAGGCAGGUGGAAUUCCGGGUGUAGCGGUGGAAUGCGUAGAGAUCGGGAAGAACACCCGUGGCGAAGGCGGCGCUCUGGGACGGUACUGACGCUGAGACGCGAAAGCGUGGGGAGCGAACAGG
rnacentral:rRNA from 1 species